rnacentral:rRNA from 1 species
CUGGGAUUAAUACCGCAUAUGAUUUAGAUUUUAAAGGUUCUAAAUGAAAGUUCAGGCGGUUAGAGAUGGGUGUGCGUCUGAUUAGCUAGUUGGUAAGGUAACGGCUUACCAAGGCGAUGAUCAGUAGGGGGCGUGAGAGCGUGGACCCCCACACGGGUACUGAGACACGGACCCGACUCCUACGGGAGGCAGCAGUAAGGAAUAUUGGUCAAUGGGCGCAAGCCUGAACCAGCCAUCCAGCGUGCAGGAAGAAGGCCCUAUGGGUUGUAAACUGCUUUUGUCAGGGAAUAAACCCUUGGAUUUACUCCGAGGCUGAAGGUACCUGAAGAAUAAGCACCGGCUAACUCCGUGCCAGCAGCCGCGGUAAUACGGAGGGUGCGAGCGUUAUCCGGAAUUACUGGGUUUAAAGGGUGCGUAGGCGGCUUGGUAAGUCAGGAGUGAAAGUUUGCGGCUCAACCGUAAAAUUGCUUUUGAUACUGCCAGGCUGGAAUCAGGUUGAGGUCAGCGGAAUGUGGCAUGUAGCGGUGAAAUGCAUAGAUAUGCCAUAGAACACCAAUUGCGAAGGCAGCUGGCUAGACCUGUAUUGACGCUGAGGCACG